rnacentral:rRNA from 1 species
GAUGAACGCUGGCGGCGUGCCUAAUACAUGCAAGUCGAGCGAACGGACGAGAAGCUUGCUUCUCUGAUGUUAGCGGCGGACGGGUGAGUAACACGUGGAUAACCUACCUAUAAGACUGGGAUAACUUCGGGAAACCGGAGCUAAUACCGGAUGAUAUUUUGAACCGCAUGGUUCAAAAGUGAAAGACGGUCUUGCUGUCACUUAUAGAUGGAUCCGCGCUGCAUUAGCUAGUUGGUAAGGUAACGGCUUACCAAGGCAACGAUGCAUAGCCGACCUGAGAGGGUGAUCGGCCACACUGGAACUGAGACACGGUCCAGACUCCUACGGGAGACAGCAGUAGGGAAUCUUCCGCAAUGGGCGAAAGCCUGACGGAGCAACGCCGCGUGAGUGAUGAAGGUCUUCGGAUCGUAAAACUCUGUUAUUAGGGAAGAACAUAUGUGUAAGUAACUGUGCACAUCUUGACGGUACCUAAUCAGAAAGCCGCGGCUAACUACGUG